GGCUUAAUACAUGCACGUCGAGGGGCAGCAUGAAUGUAGCAAUACAUUUGAUGGCGACCGGCAAACGGGUGCGGAACACGUACACAACCUUCCUAUAAGUGGGGAAUAGCCCAGAGAAAUUUGGAUUAAUACCCCGUAACAUAAUGAUGUGGCAUCACAUUAUUAUUAUAGCUACGGCGCUUAUUGAUGGGUGUGCGGCUGAUUAGAUAGUUGGCGGGGUAACGGCCCACCAAGUCUACGAUCAGUAGCUGAUGUGAGAGCAUGAUCAGCCACACGGGCACUGAGACACGGGCCCGACUCCUACGGGAGGCAGCAGUAAGGAAUAUUGGUCAAUGGACGCAAGUCUGAACCAGCCAUGCCGCGUGAAGGAUUAAGGUCCUCUGGAUUGUCUACUUC
rnacentral:rRNA from 1 species